rnacentral:lncRNA from 1 species
UCUCGGCUAUUCACGCUACUCGGCGCCGCGUCACCGAUCUCCUCUAAUUUGCCAUCUUAGUGGCCUAAUAAGGCCGCGAAUAUUUGAACUGGGCAUCGGCACUUACAGAAUCGGGGAAAGAUUGGAUGGGAAAAAGCUGACUCACUGGCGAUGA